GUAAAGAUGAAUUUAACAAACAGGACCAUAGAAUUGUGUUAAAUUGGGCUCUGUGGUGGGAUCAACUAACACAAGAAUCCAUCCUUCUCCCCAGGAUAAGUCCAGAAGGCAAGUGUGAGAGAGCCUGAAAUAUGAACAUACUGAAUGAGGAUUAAAUUGGGUAUUGAUAUUUGAAUAUUUUGAUGUGUCUCAAUUUUAGAAUUCCUUUCGGGAAAUAAUAUUCAGGUUCUUUAAAAUGCAAGUCGUUGCAUUAAGAUCUCUUUCUUAUCUCAGAGUUUCUGGGAGGGAUUUAUAAUGUGCUAAUAAAAGAAAAAAAUAGUUAAUUGAGAUUUCAAGGCUGAGUUUUCAUUCCAGCUUCAAAGUGACAAUCUGUUUUUUCAAAUAGUCUUGAGCUUCUUGUGUAAAUUGGGGAUCUAUGCCAUCUGAUAUGGGGGAUCUGGGUCAUAACUAACAGUGGUAAACAGUAGCAAUUCAGAGAGUAAAAUUCUGGCUUACUAUUAUGGCUGAAGUUUUUGUUUGUUUAUUAUUUUUAAUUUAUUUUUUUCUUUUCAUCCUUCCCCAUCUGAAACAAAGUUUUUAUUUACAUUAAGGGAAAGAGAAGGGAAAAAAAGGGUUGAACAGGUAAGUGAAAUGUACAGCUAAUACGUAAGUUUCAUUUUAACCACCAGAGUAAUUAGAAGCUACAUCUAGUUCUUUGGCUGUAGCAUUGAUUAUAAAAUGAACAAUGUGGCCAGGCACGGUGGCUCACACCUGUAAUCCCAGAAAUUUGGGAAACCGAGAUGAGAAGAUUGCUUGAGGCCAGGAGUUCAAGACCAGCCUAGCAACAUAGUGAGACCCCCAUCUCUACAGAAUAUAUAUUUUUUAAAAUACCUGGGUGGACGGGCGUGGUGGCUCACGCCUAUAAUCCCAGCACUUUGGGAGGCUGAGGCAGGCGAAUCACCUGAGUUCAAGACCAGCUUGGCCAACAUUGUGAAACCCCGCCUCUACUAAAAAUACAACAAUUAGCUGGGUGUGGUGGUGCAUUCCUGUAAUCCCAGCUACUUGGGAGGCCGAGGCAGGAGAAUCGCUUGAACCUGGGAGGCAGAGGUUGCAGUGAGCCAAGAUUGCGCCACUGCACUCCAGCCUGGGCUACAGAGCGAGACUCUGUCUCAAAAAAAAAAAAAAUUUACCUGGUCAUGAUGGCACAUCCCUGUAGUCCCUGCUACUUGGGCAGCUGAAGUAGGAGUACCACUUGAGCCCAGGAGGUCGAGGCUGCCACGAGUGCACCACUGCACUCCAGCCUGGGCAACACAGCGAGAUCCUGUCUCAAAAAAAGGAAAAUAGUAAAACAGAGGACCUGAAUAAUUAAUAUAUUGUAUAAAUAUCUAUGUCCAGAUUGUUAUAUUUACUCAGUAAUUUAGUGUUGAGUUACAUGUCAAUAGACAUAAUUAAUUAUAUUUUAAAAUGUGUUUUUUUUCAUGUAGAAUACAAAUCAUAUUCCCCUGAAGCCCUCUGGAGAUACCUCACAGCUCGCCAUGAUUGGUUAAACAUUAUCUUAUGGAUUGGAGAAUUUCAAACCCAGCAUAGUUAUGCUUCACUUCAGCAGAACAAAUGGCCCCUUCUGACUGUUGAUGUUAUUAACCAGAAUACUUCCUGUAACAACUACAUGAGGAAUGAAAUUUUAGAUAAGCUGGCCAGGAAUGGGGUUUUUUUGGCAUCUGAACUGGAAGACUUUGAAUGCUUCCUCCUAAGACUGAGCCGUAUUGGAGGUGUAAUACAGGAUACCCUCCCUGUUCAAAACUACAAGACCAAAGAAGGUUGGGAUUUCCAUUCUCAA
rnacentral:lncRNA from 10 species